CCUAAUCCCUGGUUAUAGGGGUGGGUUCGGUUCCGAUUGGUUUGGUUUUUUGCCCAAGUCGGAAACCGAACCAAAUUACUGUUUGAUUUGGUUCGGUUUUAUUUCAGUUUUUUUCGGUUCGGUUUAAUUUUGGUUUGGGUUUUUCUGGUUCGGUUUUGGUCCGGUUUAGAUUUUUCACUUUUUUUUUUAAUUUUAAAAUUCUGAAAUUGAUCUGUGGGUGAUUCUUCUUACAUACUCAAUUUAAUUCAUUUGGAAGAACACUAGCAACAACCUGAUUGUCCUCUUUCCCUUGUUUUUGCUGCGAAAAAAAAUCAUAGAAAAAAAAAUACAAAGAUACAAAUCAAUUAUUUUUGCCUUCACAGCCAAAGUUGCAAGUUCACAACAAACCAACAAAAGAAUAUUGAAAGCUAAGACGAAAACGAAAAAAAUUUAAUUAAAAAACUCCAUACGAAGAAUUCUUAAUUAGUACAAAGAAUAAAAAAAGCCAGGUACAAUAAAUUUAAUAAAUAAAAACUAAAUUUCACUCUAAUUAGAGGCCUUGGAGGAUGGAGGUGGAGGGCUGGCGUGCUCAAUAUUGCAUGCAAAAUUACCUGCAAAUACAUAACCAAAGCUAUGGAGAAUUCCUUUUUGUCCAACCACUAUCUUAUUUCGACAAACCCAUCGCAAAAUUUAUUUAGAAAAAACUCACACCAAUUCACAAACCCAUCGCAAAAUUCAUUCAGAAACUUACAAAGAUACAAAUCUCAGAGAAAUUUACAAAUCCAUUCACAUCAUCACACAUAUCUUGGUUUCAAAUUUCAAACAAAAUAUCUUUUACCCCUCUGAAAGUUGGACUCAGAAGAGUUGUUGGACUGCCGGUGAGUAUGGAUUCUUGGCUAGCCCGGAAGAAGAGAGAGACAUCAGAAGAUGCAACAGAGGAUUUAGGGGGGGGGGGGGGAGAGAAAGAUAUGAUUUGUCAUGGAUGAGGGAGAGAGUAAAGAUCCGGAUGGGGAGAAAAAAAGAAAAAAGAAGAGGGAUGAGGGGGUGAAUAAUGAAUAUGGAGGAUGGAGAAAGGAAAAAGAAAGAACAAAGAAGAUGGAAGAUGGAGGACGGAGAGAAAUGGCGCGGCUGGGGUGAAAGAAAGAGUAAAGUGAGAGAAUA
rnacentral:lncRNA from 1 species